rfam:Lottia gigantea unplaced genomic scaffold LOTGIsca_38, whole genome shotgun sequence.
AUCCAUCGGGGUACUUCGAUAUUAAACUGAUUUUUGGACCUAGAUGAGGUGCCCGGAGCUUGCUCCGCCCUCAUCACGGGUUGCCCUGGUAUUGCAGUACUUCCAGGCGUGGUCCACCCUCA